rnacentral:rRNA from 1 species
GGCGAACGGGUGAGUAACACGUGGGCAAUCUGCCCUGCACUCUGGGAUAAGCCCGGGAAACUGGGUCUAAUACCGGAUACGACACUCCGAGGCAUCUUGGGGUGUGGAAAGUUCCGGCGGUGCAGGAUGAGCCCGCGGCCUAUCAGCUUGUUGGUGGGGUAAUGGCCUACCAAGGCGACGACGGGUAGCCGGCCUGAGAGGGUGACCGGCCACACUGGGACUGAGACACGGCCCAGACUCCUACGGGAGGCAGCAGUGGGGAAUAUUGCACAAUGGGCGAAAGCCUGAUGCAGCGACGCCGCGUGAGGGAUGACGGCCUUCGGGUUGUAAACCUCUUUCAGCAGGGAAGAAGCGAAAGUGACGGUACCUGCAGAAGAAGCACCGGCUAACUACGUGCCAGCAGCCGCGGUAAUACGUAGGGUGCGAGCGUUGUCCGGAAUUAUUGGGCGUAAAGAGCUCGUAGGCGGUUUGUCGCGUCGAUUGUGAAAGCCCGGGGCUUAACCCUGGGUCUGCAGUCGAUACGGGCAGGCUAGAGUUCGGCAGGGGAGACUGGAAUUCCUGGUGUAGCGGUGAAAUGCGCAGAUAUCAGGAGGUACACCGGUGGCGAAGGCGGGUCUCUG